rfam:Candidatus Micrarchaeum sp. AZ1 Contig1, whole genome shotgun sequence.
GGGCUCGUAGCUUAGCAUGGUUGGAGCGUCCGACUGAUAAUCGGAAGGUCGAGAGUUCAAAUCUCUCCGGGCCCA